UACGGAAGGUCCGGGCGUUAUCCGGAUUUAUUGGGUUUAAAGGGAGCGCAGGCUGAUGAUUAAGCGUGACGUGAAAUGUAGCCGCUCAACGGCUGAACUGCGUCGCGAACUGGUUAUCUUGAGUGAGUUCGAUGUUGGCGGAAUUCGUGGUGUAGCGGUGAAAUGCUUAGAUAUCACGAAGAACUCCGAUUGCGAAGGCAGCCAACAAGGCCUUUACUGACGCUAAAGCUCGAAGGUGCGGGUAU
rnacentral:rRNA from 1 species